rnacentral:rRNA from 1 species
UACAGAGGUCUCAAGCGUUGUUCGGAUUCAUUGGGCGUAAAGGGUGCGUAGGCGGCGCGGUAAGUCGGGUGUGAAAUCCCUCAGCUCAACUGAGGAAGUGCGCCCGAAACUGCUUUGCUUGAGUGCUGGAGAGGGUCGCGGAAUUCCCGAAGUAGAGGUGAAAUUCGUAGAUAUCGGGAGGAACACCGGUGGCGAAGGCGGCGACCUGGACAGUAACUGACGCUGAGACGCGAAAGCGUGGGUAGCAAACAGG